UCUUUGUCGCCGACACGGUCAUACGAGU
rnacentral:sRNA from 1 species